rnacentral:rRNA from 1 species
ACCUGCUUAAGGAUCAUUA